rnacentral:misc_RNA from 3 species
AACGCACAUUGCGCCCCUCGGUAUUCCGUGGGGCAUGCCUGUUCGAGCGUCAUUUACACCCUCAAGCUAUGCUUGGUGUUGGGCGUCUGUCCCGCCUUCGUGCGCGGACUCGCCUCAAAGUCAUUGGCAGCGGUCUCGUCGGCUUCUCGCGCAGCACAUUUGCGCUUCUCGGAGCCCCGGCGGAUCAGCGUCCAGCAAGCGAUUUCAUGACUUGACCUCGGAUCAGGUAGGGAUACCCGCUGAACUUAA